rnacentral:rRNA from 1 species
AUCUCAAAUCAGGUAGGACUACCCGCUGAACUUAAGCAUAUCAAUAAAGCGGAGGAAA